AACAUUCAACGCUGUCGGUGAGUUUGAGAAAGUAUAAAAAUGUAAACCAUCGGCCGUUGACUGUACC
rnacentral:pre_miRNA from 1 species